GAUUGAACGCUGGCGGCGUGCCUAACACAUGCAAGUCGAGCGGUAACGCGGGGGCAACCCUGGCGACGAGCGGCGGACGGGUGAGUAACGCUUAGGAAUCUUCCCAGUAGUGGGGAACAACCCGGGGAAACUCGGGCUAAUACCGCAUACGCCCUUCGGGGAAAGGCGGGGACCGGUAAGGCCUCGCGCUAUUGGAUGAGCCUAAGUCGGAUUAGCUAGUUGGUAGGGUAACGGCCUACCAAGGCGACAAU
rnacentral:rRNA from 1 species